CCUAAGACAUGCAGUCGUACGCGAACGACUUCGGGGUUAAGUAGAGUGGCGAACGGGUUAGUAACGCGUGGGAACAUACACAGCACAGGGGGAUAACCAUUGGAAACGAUGGCUAAUACCGCAUACGCCCUAUUGGGGAAAGAUUAUCGGUGUGGAUUGGCCCGCGUUAAUUACUAGUUGGUGGGGUAAUGGCUCACCAAGGCGAGAUUUAUAGCUGGUUUGAGAGGAUGAUCAGCAACACUGGAACUGAGACACGGUCCAAUCCACGGGAGGCAGCAGUCGGGAAUAUUGUGCAAUGGGGGCAACCCUGACACAGCCAUGCCGCGUGAGUGAAGAAGGCCUUAGGGUUGUAAAGCUCUUUCAGAUGUGAGGAUGAUGACGAUAGCAUCAGAAGAAGCUCCGGCUAACUUCGUGCCAGCAGCCGCGGUAAUACGAAGGGAGCUAGCGUUGUUCGGAAUUACUGGGCGUAAAGGGCGUGUAGGCGGAUCAUCAAGUUAGGGGUGAAAUCCCGGGGCUCAACCUCGGCACUGCCUUUAAGACUGAUAAUCUAGAGUAUGUGAGGGGAUAAUG
rnacentral:rRNA from 1 species